CCCAGAUGGUCUUGUGGUCAAGACUCCUGGUUUAUACCCAGCUGAUCUGGGUUCAGUUCCCAGUGACUGAGU
rnacentral:tRNA from 1 species